UACGUAGGGGGCAAGCGUUGUCCGGAUUUAUUGGGCGUAAAGCGCGUGUAGGCGGCCAUGUAGGUCUGACGUGAAAUUCCGAGGCUCAACCUCGGCAGGUCGUUGGAAACCAUAUGGCUAGAGUCCGGAAGAGGAGAGUGGAAUUCCUGGUGUAGCGGUGAAAUGCGCAGAUAUCAGGAAGAACACCAAUGGCGGAGGCAGCUCUCUGGGACGGUACUGACGCUGAGACGCGAAAGCGUGGGGAGCGAACAGG
rnacentral:rRNA from 1 species